rnacentral:rRNA from 1 species
CUGCUGCCUUCCGUAGGAGUUUGAGCCGUGUCUCAGUCCCAAUGUGGCCGAUCAACCUCUCAAUUCGGCUACGCAUCAUUGCCUUGGUAAGCCUUUACCCUACCAACUAGCUAAUGCGCCGCGGGCCCAUCCAAAAGCGGUAGUAUAGCCACCUUUUACAUAGUUACCAUGCGGUAACUAUGGUUAUGCGGUAUUAGCACCUGUUUCCAAGUGUUAUCCCCCUCUUUUGGGCAGGUUGCCCACGUGUUACUCACCCGUUCGCCA